AGAGUUUGAUCAUGGCUCAGGAUGAACGCUAGCUACAGGCUUAACACAUGCAAGUCGAGGGGCAGCAUGGUCUAGCAAUAGACUGAUGGCGACCGGCGCACGGGUGAGUAACACGUAUCCAACCUACCGGCUAUUCCGGGAUAGCCUUUCGAAAGAAAGAUUAAUACCGGAUAGUAUAGCGAGAAGGCAUCUUCUUGCUAUUAAAGAAUUUCGAUAACCGAUGGGGAUGCGUUCCAUUAGUUUGUUGGCGGGGUAACGGCCCACCAAGACAUCGAUGGAUAGGGGUUCUGAGAGGAAGGUCCCCCACAUUGGAACUGAGACACGGUCCAAACUCCUACGGGAGGCAGCAGUGAGGAAUAUUGGUCAAUGGACGAGAGUCUGAACCAGCC
rnacentral:rRNA from 1 species